GUCUGGUUUGAAGGUAAUGAAUUAUCUCACUUGGUUAACAGUCAGUUGCAGAUCUAACUCCUUGUUCUACUCCUUCCCCCUUUCUCACUACUGCGCUUGACUAAUCUUAA
ensembl:Y_RNA Y_RNA Y RNA